AAAUUGAAAUCACUUAGCAUGACAAGAAAGGCGGGCUUUAUUGGGAACACGAGAAUUUCCACCGAAUUGUGUUGGAAUUAAACUGUCCACGACUGAUCCUUUACGUCUUAAGCUCUGAGGUGAUAAUAAUAAAUCCGGCAUUCCAAAAAGACCAAGAAGAAGCUAUGUCCAUUGGAACAAGAUGCAUGGACGCACAAUCAAUGUACACACGUUACAUAGGCACCAUUAGCUUAGCAGCUCAGGCUACUGGAUCUAGCCGAUGAUCUGGUCGAGUGCACCGGUGUUCUUGAGGCCGAGGACAAUGCCGACGCCCAGGAUGUGGCCGACGGCGCCGCACGCCAGCGUGUCGGCGAGCGUGAACCCGGCCGGGUCGCCGGUCUGCAGGCCGGAGUCGCGCGCCUCCAGCUUCAGCCCCG